UUGACUAGCGCCCCGACCUCCUCUCCAGUCCUUCAUUGAUGG
rnacentral:sRNA from 1 species